rnacentral:lncRNA from 1 species
ACGGUUAAACCGGGAAAACAGUGGCUAGUUUGAAGAAGGGGCGGGGGGACUCCUUGGGGAAACGCCCAGUGCCUGCGCUCUUUUCCGGCUGGAGCAUCCUGGCGCCCAGUUGAGGGAGGAAGGGAAAUGGGAAGGGUUUGG